rnacentral:RNase_MRP_RNA from 1 species
GAUCACAAUUUAGAAUUGCAGAGUCAAGCAGCAUGAAGAUGGCGGCUUGAUUGGGAAAUUCCCCGGACCACAGGGCAGAGAGUGCCGGCCGUGAAGGCAAAACGCUUCUUUUGGACGCUGCGAAGACGCCUCCGGGUGGAGCAUAUGCCGACGAGAGAGGUCUGUUCGUCAUACCACAGUUAUGCAAUUGGCCCCAAGCAACGUCGACGUCGUGCGGCAGCUUGUGGGUUAACUCAACGGGGAUUACUCAUGUUGUGUU